rnacentral:rRNA from 1 species
GACGAACGCUGGCGGCGUGCCUAAUACAUGCAAGUCGAACGCAGUGGGGACGGGUGAGUAACACGUGGGUAACCUCCCCAUCAGAGGGGAUAACACUUGGAAAAAGGUGCUAAACCGAUACUGAUGGAUGGACCUGGGGUGCAUUAGCUAGUUGGUGGGGAAACGGCGCACCAAGGCAACGAUGCAUACCCGGCUUGAGAGGGGGAUCAGCCACACUGGUACUGAGACACGGCCCAGACUCCUACGGGAGGCAGCAGUAGGGAAUCUUCGGCAAUGGACGAAAGUCUGACCGAGCAACGCCGCGUGAGUGAAGAAGGUUUUCGGAUCGUAAAACUCUGUUGGUAGAGAAGCGGUAUCUAACCAGAAAGCCACGGCUAACUACGUGCCAGCAGCCGCGGUAAUUC